CUGUAUCUAUCAUAGGUGUAUAAUACCUAUUAUAAUAUCCUUUUACUAUUAUUUUUACAAGUACAUAUAUUUUCAUAUCAUGUCAAAGCUCUUUUUAUUAAUAAUUUUUCUUUAUUAUAUGUUAUAGAUAAUUGUAUAUGUUUUAUAUUGUAUGGUUUUACUUGUUCUAACAAUUUUAUUUCUAAUAUUAUGUCUGUUUUUUGCAUAUCUUCCUUUAUUUCAAAUUCUAUUUUUAUUUUUCUAACUCCUAUUAUUAUUUCUUUUUCUGUCAUAUCAUUAAUGUUUAUUAGACUCCUUGAU
rnacentral:lncRNA from 1 species